AUUAGUCGAGGGCCUUGCCCCCACCUUGCCUGGGCGUCAGGUUCUGUGUGGCUCACGUGGAGCUGAGGGACCUUCAUUCGGAAGCUGGAGGAUAUGUGGCCCUGGGAAGCCCAGCAUGAGUGGGAAGAAGCCUCAUAGCUGCCCGGUGGCGUGAGGGGUACAGAGGGGUGGGGGCGACCCGUCAGCCAAGGCCUUGGCCAGGCGUGGCGCUGGUGGCCCCUGUCUGUCAUGGGCUGAAGUGGACCCCCGGGGACUGCUGCUGGGUGGUGCUGCCUUCUGGAUGCCUCACACCUGCCCUACUCAUCCCCUGCAAGGCCUGCUCUGAUGGGGAACCAUCCCAGGCCCCAUGUACACCCAGCAUGCCUGCCACCUUGGCGGUGCCGCCUAGCCCUUGCCAUGGGAGGGGACUGUGGACUGUGCUCACUGGAUCCCCUCUGCCUCCCGCCACUGCUGUCAAGAGAAUGGCUGGAGGUACCAGACCUCCCUGCGCCCUGGGUGACCCCGACAGUGGCAGGGGAGGCCGAGGGCCGUGUGAGCAGCCUUUGGGCUGCAGUCCUGCAGGUCUGAGCGCCUGUGGCCAGGAGCUGUCCUGAACUGUGCUACAGUGUUUCAGGUACCCCAGGCAUAUUCCUUGGUGGGUCCAGGGGAACUUCUCUGUGUCUCCGAGACUUUCUGAGACACAUGGGAGCUUCUCGUCCAUCUCUGGAUGCUGAUUCUGUAGAGUCGGGAGGGCCCGCCAUGUUGACUGGGCUGUCAUUCUGCGAGGUGCACCUGCUUGGAGUGCUGGCUGGCCUCUUGCCGGCCGCUCUAACCUUAGAUGAAGCACCAUCCAGCCGUGAUGGACUUGUUUCCAGUUUUGGCACUGAUGGAAGUGCUGACCCAGGCUCUCCUGCCCAUCAGGGAAAUACCAGGGUGCAAGAACCCCUUGCAAGGACCACUGCUGUCUGUCUUGUUGUUCUGUCCCUUGAGUCACCCUGUAGUGGAACUGCCUCCUCCCAGGAACGGCCAGACCGAAAGGUCAGGAUCCUUGUCGGCUGCUGUCCAUUUUGGUUUACGUGGUGCUCAGUCUGGACAUGCUGACGUGCACCCUCUGGCUGUCAGACAGCCCUUGUGUGCGCUCCUGCUCGUCACUGUGGCCUCUGGGCGGGAGCGGAGUUAGGACCUUCUGUUUGCUUCUGAUGUCCUCAGAGUCUAGGCCAGCCGACUCCGGCUGUGACUCAGCCUUUGCAGGUGGGAUCAUGAUGUCCUGGGUGGGCACGGCCAUGGCGGCUCUUCUUCCUCCAGAUGCCCUGUCCCCAUGGGGGGCACAGGUGGGACCUUUAGCCCCUUGCUGCCCGGUAAGGCCCACUUUAUCAAGUGGUAGGACGUGUAGGCUUGUACCCCCACUCCCCAGGCACACGGACAUCAUUUCUUCAUCUGCCUGGGGUUUGAGGGUUUGAUAUUUAUUUUUACCAUUACACAGGUAUCCUCUUAUAGCUAAAGGGCAGAAGGCCCAAACUCAGUGUCCCUGUCAUGUCUUCCCCACUUGGCAUUAGGCAGGGGCUUCCUGUGCUUCACAGCUUAUCCUCUGUUGACUGCAUGUUUCUCAGUCACCUCCAGGCCUGCCCAAGCCUGUGUGUCUCAGGUCUGGAUAAAUCGACCCUUCAUGCUGACCACUGUGACUGUGGGACUGUUUACCCUGAGCUGGUGGACAGUUCUGAUCUCACUUCCUGUCUACUCUAGGUCCCGUGUUCUGACCUCCCUUCUUGUCUGCUCUGCGUCCUCCAUCCUGGCAGGGCCCCUGGUUCUGACCUGUCUGCUCUAGGUCCUGCAUUCUGACCUCACUUCCUGUCUGCUCUGUUUUCUACAUCCUGACAUCACUUCCUGUCUGUCUGUUGUGUGUCUUGGGUUGGUCAGUCACUGUUUUCCUGCUCCCGUCGGUGCUAUCCCCUCUCGGAGGCCGAGGUGCUGGACUUGGUGUGUGCCCUGCCUCUUCCUCCUGAGCCCAGCAUCCGACAGCAUUAGAAAAAUGAGAUCGAGAGUUUAAAAUUGCCAUUGUCUCACCUGAUGCUGGCAUCUGCAUCCGGGAGGCUUCCCUGCCCCGGGGAGCCCUGGUGGGGGACAGCCUGGUGCCACCAGAACCCAUAAAAAGCAAAAACGACUGGAGACUGGAGUAACAGAGCCUCGGGUCAUCUCGACUGCAGGAAGGAGGGGAGCAUGUCCAGCUCUGAGGUAGAAGGUUUUGAAAGCUCUCUGAAUUGUGCUGACUGGCAUGUCCAUUGUGAGCAGAUAUGUUUUCCUUUCUGCAGUAAUUUUGGCUACAUUAGAUUCGUUUUUGUUAA